rnacentral:rRNA from 1 species
CCUAUGGGUGGCAGCAGUAGGGAAUCUUUCACAAUGGGCGAAAGCCUGAUGGAGCAACGCCGCGUGCAGGAUGAAGGCCCUCGGGUUGUAAACUGCUUUUAUAAGCGAGAAAUAUGAUGUUAACUUAUGAAUAAGGAUCGGCUAACUACGUGCCAGCAGCCGCGGUCCUACGUAGGAUCCGAGCAUUAUCCGGAGUGACUGGGUGUAAAGAGUUUUGUAGGUGGCAUAAUAAGUAGCAGGUGUAAUCUGGUGGCUCAACAAUUCAGACUAUUAGCUAAACUGUUAAGCUCGAGAGCGUUAGGGGUAACUGGAAUGUCUGGUGUAGGGGUGAAAUCCGUAGAUAUUAGAAGGAACACCAAUUGCGUAGGCAGGUUACUGGGACGGUUCUGACACUAAGGCACGAAAGCGUAGGGAGCGAACGGGAUUAGAUACCCCUGUAGUC